rnacentral:rRNA from 1 species
AUUGAACGCUGGCGGCAGGCCUAACACAUGCAAGUCGAACGAGUGGCGGACGGGUGAGUAAUGUCUGGGAAAAUGCCCGAUGGAGGGGGAUAACUACGGGAAACGGUAGCUAAUAUCGCAUACCAUCAGAUGUGCCCAGAUGGGAUUAGCUUGUUGUUGGGGUAACGGCUCACCAAGGCGACGAUCCCUAGCUGGUCUGAGAGGAUGAGCAGCCACACUGGAACUGAGACACGGUCCAGACUCCUACGGGAGGCAGCAGUGGGGAAUAUUGCACAAUGGGGGCAAGCCUGAUACAGCCAUGCCGCGUGUAUGAAGAAGGCCUUCGGUUUGUAAAGUACUUUCAGCGGGGAGGCGUUACCCGCAGAAGAAGCACCGGCUAACUCCGUGCCAGCAGCCGCGGUAAUUC